CCGAGAUGCAGCAGAAAGUAGCCGCUGGUCUCUGGAGUUCAAGGCCGGCCUCCAGUUCGUCCCGCGCCGCCGCAUUGCCUACCUCCUCCCUCCACCCUUCCGGCCUCCUCCUCCCACCGCAGCGGCGGCCGCCGCCUCACCGUUUCAUGUCCAGGCUCCUGCCCCGCAUCACCGCGCUCCCAGGCUGUCGCCGCAGCCACAACCCGAUCCCGCCCGCCCUCGCGGAGUCGCUCGCGCGGGUCCUCGCCACCCGCUCCACCAACCCGGCCUGGGCCCGCUCCCUCGCCGCGCUCCUCCCCUCCCCGCUCUCAGACGGCGGCCUCGCCGACGCCGUCGUCUCCCUGCGCGACCCCGACCUCGCCCACGCGCUCCUCUCCUGGUCCCGCUCCCACUCCGGCAGCCGCCACCAUGACGCCGACAAACUCCCGCCGCCCACGCCUAUCGCGCAUUCCGCCCUCCUCCGCCUCCUCGCCCGCUCCGGCCGCUUCGACGCCGUCGACUGCACGCUCCAGGACAUGUCUCGCGCGGGCGUCGCGCCCACGUAUGCUUGCCUCGGCGAGCUUGUGGCUGCCUACGCCGACGCCGGGAUCGAAACGAAGGCCACCGAUAUGUGCGAGCGCGUCAGGGCGCAAUAUGGAAUGCUCCCUGCGGCGAUCCACAGCAACUGCCUGCUCAGACUCCUCGUGGAGAGGCGGCAGUGGGACGACGCCCACAAGUUGUAUGACGAAAUGCUUGCUAAGGAAGGUGGCGCGGAUGAUUACAGCACAUGUGUGAUGGUCCGGGGCCUUUGCUUGGAAGGGCUGGUCGAGAAGGGCGUGAAGUUGAUUGAGGCGAGGUGGGGAGCAGGGUGCGUGCCAAAUUCUGUGUUCUAUAAUGUCUUGAUCGAUGGUUAUUGUCGACGCGGCGGCAUGGGUAGGGGACUGUUGCUCUUGGGUGAGAUGGAGAUGAAGGGGGUAUUGCCAACUGUGGUAACAUAUGGAACUCUUAUGAGCUGGCUCGGGAGGAAGGGUGAUCUUGAGAAGGUUACCUAUUUGCUGUCAGAGAUGCGGGAAAGGAGACUGUCCCCCAACAUUGAGAUUUAUAACAGUGUCAUCGAUGCUUUGUGCAAAUGCCGGUCUGCACCACAGGCAAUGGUAGUCUUGAAGCAGAUUUUUGCAAGUGGCUGUGACCCUGAUGUCAUUACUUUUAGUACUUUGAUAUCUGGGCUCUGCAGGGAAGGGCGUGUUCAAGAGGCUGAGCGUCUGUUGAGGGAGGCCAUUAGGAGGGAGGUAAACCCAAAUCUAUUCAGUUAUACUUCAUUGAUUCAUGGCUUCUGCAUUAGAGGACAAGUGAUGGAUGCAUCCAAUUUGCUUGUGGAAAUGAUGGAAAGAGGGUAUACUCCUGAUGUGGUCACAUUUGGAGCCCUGAUUCAUGGUCUUGUUGUUGCUGGGCAAGUCAGUGAGGCAUUGCUUGUCCGGGAGAAGAUGACAGCGAGACAGCUUCUCCCUGAUGCUAACAUAUAUAAUGUGCUGAUUAGUGGGCUAUGCAAGAAACAUAUGCUUCCUGCAGCUAGAAACCUUCUAGCAGAGAUGCUCGAGCAAAAUGUCCACCCUGAUAAAUUUGUUUACACCACAUUGAUUGAUGGGUUCAUUAGGAACGAGAGUCUUGAUGAGGCAAGGAAAGUAUUCGAAUUCAUGGAACAAAAGGGUGUCCGCCUUGAUGUUGUAGGCUAUAAUGCUAUGAUAAAAGGAUACUGUCAGUUUGGAAUGCUGGAUGAGGCAAUUGUAUGCAUGAACAACAUGAGAAAGGUGAGGUGUAUCCCAGAUGAGUUUACAUAUUCCACUCUUAUCACUGGCUAUGUUAAACAAGGCAAUAUGGGUGGAGCUCUAAGGUUACUGUGCGAAAUGACGAAAAGGAGAUGCCAACCAAAUGUUGUUACAUACUCAUCGUUAAUAAAUGGAUACUGCAAGCUAGGUGAUACAGAUACUGCAGAAGAUAUAUUCGCAAACAUGCAACUUGAAGGUCUAUUCCCCAAUGUGAUAACUUAUACCAUUUUAAUUGGUAGCCUGUUUAAAAAAGAUAAAGCGAUGAAAGCUGCUGCAUAUUUCGAACACAUGCUGAUUAAUUGUUGUGCUCCUAGUGAUAUUACGUUGCAUUGUUUAGUUACUGGUCUCACUAACUGUAUGGCUUGUAUCGUCAGUUCAAACUGCAGUGGUACUGUUAAGAUGCAUGACAAGGGUGCUCUUUUGGACAUAUUCAGGGGUUUGGUUAAUGGCAAAUGGGAUCCAAGGAAUGCAGCAUACAAUGCUAUUAUCUUCGGCCUAUGCAGACACAAUAUGCUUGGUAACGCAUUGGACAUAAUAAAUAAGAUGGCUAACAAAGGGUACUCACCGGACUCUGUCACUUUCAUUGCACUUCUUUAUGGAUUUUGUUCUGUUGGCAAAUCAAGGGAUUGGAGGAGCAUCCUACCUAAUGACUUUCAGCCAGAUCAACUUCAGAUAGCCUCUAGGUACAUGAUACUAUUUGAUCAAUAUGUAGCAAAGUCAGUUGGUUGUGAAGUCUCUAGUGCUCUGCAGUUAUAUCUUGAAGAAUGUGGAUCCUUAAAACAAAUGGAGCAUAAAUUUAAGUGUUCCUGAUAUUGUUCCUGGCACUUGCAAAUGACGGAUAACACUUAUCAGCAAGUGAAGACUAAGAGUAGAAUGGUUUGUAAUACCAUAUCUACAGGACUUUCUGCCAGCACUGGUAAUGCGUGAUAGAUCUCCAGUAGAAAUGGUCUCCCUGAAGGUCAGGACAGGAAGAUGCCGAUUUCACAUUCACAUCCAGAAGGGGAGUGGAUCUCCUUAUAAAUAUCACCGAGUGAUUGCUCUUGAUCAAGAAAAAAAACUUCGAAUAGGCAUCUGAUGUGACUUUAAUUGUCUGGUAAGGUGGAUUCUCAACAAGUGCUUGUGCAAUUAAGCAGGUGAAUGAACUGUGAAUCAAUUGGUAGAGCACACACUCAGGGUUUACAGGGCAUGGUUUUUGUGAUAUAUCUAUUGAUAUUGGAAGGAGCUCUAUGGAACUGCUUUGGCUGUUGGAAUUUGGUGUGUACAAAGCCACAAACACUUAGCAGUAACAGCGGCAAUAUCAGAAUAUUGAGUGGUCUUCCAUGAGCCUACUAAGUUGCAAGGCAGAACUUGGAUUUCUUCCACUGAGCUAACGGAGACUGAUGAGAGCAAUAUUUUUCGUUAGACCAAUUCUAGCAAGGAACAGAAAACCAAACAGCUAAUUUAACUGAAAGUUCACAGGUAAAAAAAAACUAAAACUUGCAAGUUGCGAGUUGCAAGGGUAUCAGGUGUGUUCCUGAUCUGCUGAGGCCUGUUGCUCUUUCUCUGGCCUAGAGACCGAAAAGUUCUGAUUGGUACCUGAAAAACUAUUGAUUGAUGACAAUUCAAUGAGACAUCUAGGUUGGUCAUUUCAAGGAUUUGUAGCACUUUAGAGUUUAGAGCAUAGUAAUGGCCGGAAUAACAGAAGGCAACACAUGUUAACCGCUAAUCGACUGUUCGAAUGCUGUAUCAUCACUAGCGACUAGUGAAAGCCCGAUACGUGUAAAUAAAAAACUAAUGUAGACAUAUAUAAUCACUCCUGCGAAGUACUAUUCAUCUGAAAUUAAUGACCAAUUAAAACAUGUUU